AGUAAUUAAAUAAUUAUAUAUUUACUUGAGGAGCAAGUUCUCUCUCUCUCUCUUUUAUCUUUGUGAAAUUAUAGAAAUUCCAUUUUCCGUGGGAAAUUCAAGUCAUUAAUAUAGUUGAAAAACAUGGUCAGAAUUUAAGCUUUUGGCUACUAUGGACAAAGAUAUGAACUUUCCAUUUUGUGAUAAGCUCUUCCCAUGUUCAUAUUUGUUGUUGGGUCUGAGCAUUUUAAUCUGGACAAAGAUUUCACCUUUGGGUUUGUAAUUCAUCGCCAGCUGUAGCUGGGGGAAGUGAAGGUAAGGCUGUGAACACUAAUUUUCUCGAAGGAGUGUUUCUGAAUUGAAUUGUCAAUUUGGGUCUCCCUUUUUUGGGAAUUAUCACUUUCAGUUAGCUGGGAUUGGUGAAACCUAGCUAGAGAGGAGAGGCGGAGGACAAGGAUGUAUUUUUUUAGAUACAUGUGUGUGCUUUGUUUUGUAGUGGACGUAUUUGUGAAAGGGUGAAAGGGUUUUUUUUUUUUUUUUUCUCAGUAUACUGAACUGAAGGGUUUUUGUGGGUUCCCUUUGUUUUGAGAUUUGUGUUUUGGAUGAUGGAGGAAGCUCAGGGCAAUUCUAGUUCCUUGCCUCCUUUCCUCAGCAAGACUUAUGACAUGGUGGAUGAUCCUUCCACCAAUUCCAUUGUUUCCUGGAGUGUCACCAAUAAGAGUUUCGUUGUUUGGAACCCACCAGAGUUUUCAAGGGAUUUGUUACCCAGAUUCUUUAAGCACAGUAACUUCUCCAGUUUUAUCAGGCAACUCAACACUUAUGGGUUUAGAAAGAUUGAUCCUGAACUAUGGGAAUUUGCAAAUGAGGGUUUUGUGAGAGGUCAGCCACAUCUUUUGAAGAAUAUUCAUAGGCGCAAACCAGUUCAUAGCCAUUCUUUGCAAAAUACUCAGGGUCAGGGGUCUUCUUCACUGACUGAAUCAGAAAGGCAGAGUUUCAAGGAUGAGAUAAGGAAGCUUAAAGAUGAAAAAGAUCAAAUUCUUCGGGAGCUAGAGAGGCAUGAACAGGAGUGGAAAAUGUAUGAGGUACAACUACAAUAUUCGAAUGAUCGAUUGGAACAGUUGGAAAAGAAGCAAGAAAAUUUGGUUUCUUCUGUUUCUGAAGUGCUGCAGAAACCUGGGAUUGCCUUAAAUCUCUUGCCACUGACAGAAAAAGGGGAUAGAAAACGUAGGUUGCCAAGAAGUGGUAUCUUCAGUGACGAUGCUGGCAUUGAUGAUCAUAUGGAAACUUCCUCUGUAUUACCUGGGAUAAAUGCAGAGGGUGCCUCUAUUUUCUCCCCAAACAUGGAGCGAUUUGAUCUACUUGAGUCAUCCAUUAUGUUUUGGGAGAAUAUUGCACAUGAUGUUCAAAGUCAUGUGAACAUGGAUUUUGAUGAAACCACAAGUUGUGCAGAUAGUCCAGCUAUAUCUUCUGUGCAGCUAGAGGUUGAAGUUCAACCUAAGUCACCUGGAAUGAACGUGGAUUCUGAAUCCGCUGUAGCUGCUGUUUCUGAUCUUGAUGCAUCAAAAGAACCACCUGUGGGAACAGUUUCUGUGGCUGCUGGUGUUAAUGAUAUAUUCUGGGAACGUUUCUUGACAGAGAAUCCUGGUUCUGAGAAUCAGGAAGUGCAUUCUGAAAGGAAAGAUUCUGAUGGCAGAAGUAAUGCCAAGUUUUGGUGGAAUAUUAGGAAUGUAAAUAACCCUCCAGAACAGAUGGGGCAUUCUUAGUCAAGCAGAGCCAACUUAGUUGCAAUGAUUAUUCCUUCUAGCUUGAGAUGCCCUGCAAUUUCAUGUAAUAAAUGUAGGCUACAAGGAAAGAAGUUCUGGAUAGAUGGUGCAAGGUUGAUCAAUGUCCACACACAGUGAUGACCAACUAUGUGAAUGAUGUGAAAUUAACUUCUAGACUUCUAGUCUAUAUUACAUUUUCUGCACUGUGUUUGGAGUCUUAAAAAUGUUGACUGAUAGUUGUAACAUACAUUGACAAUAAAAGAUUUCAAUGGAUAGAAUUGAUGCUUGUA